rnacentral:ncRNA from 1 species
AAAACGGCUUUGAUAAGGAAAGUAAGUUUUACUGAAGUACUACAGAGAGUUUCUGGUGGGUGCGAAGAAACAACGAAGGUUUAGCUGAAAAUCACCUUUGAGCAGAAAUUACGAAUUGAGUAGUUUCAGGGUGCGCCCUUUAUAGCGUCGACGUAUCGCUCUUUUUUGAGCCGCACGUGCAACGAGGCUGGGGCUAUGCUCAGCGAACAUAGGUGGUACAGCGCAUAAGCGCCCUAUUA